rnacentral:rRNA from 1 species
GUCGAACGAGAAAGGGGAGCAAUCCCUGAGUAAAGUGGCGACCGGGUGAGUAACACGUGACUAACCUACCCUCGAGUGUGGAAUAACAUCGGGAAACCGAUGCUAAUACCGCAUAACAUCGCAAGAUCAAAGGAGCAAUCCGCUUGAGGAGGGGGUCGCGGCUGAUUAGCUAGUUGGCGGGGUAACGGCCCACCAAGGCGAAGAUCGGUAGCCGGCCUGAGAGGGCGCACGGCCACACUGGAACUGAAACACGGUCCAGACUCCUACGGGAGGCAGCAGUGGGGAAUUUUGCGCAAUGGGGGAAACCCUGACGCAGCAACGCCGCGUGGAGGAUGAAGCCCCUUGGGGCGUAAACUCCUUUCGACCAAGACGAUAAUGACGGUACUGGUGGAAGAAGCACCGGCUAACUCUGUGCUAGCAGCCGCGGUAAUACAGAGGGUGCAAGCGUUGUUCGGAAUUAUUGGGCGUAAAGGGCGCGUAGGCGGCGCGACAAGUCACCUGUGAAAUCCCCGGGCUUAACUCGGGGCCUGCAGGCGAAACUGUCGUGCUGGAGUAUGGGAGAGGUGCGUG